AUUGAACGCUGGCGGCAGGCCUAACACAUGCAAUUCGAGCGGAUGAAGGGAGCUUGCUCCUGGAUUCAGCGGCGGACGGGUGUGUAAUGCCUAGGAAUCUGCCUCGUAGUGGUGUAUAACGUCCGGAUACGGGCGCUACUACUGCAUACGUCCAGAGGGAGCAACUCGGGGUUCUUCGGACCUCACCCUAUCUGAUGAGCCUACGUCCGAUUAGCUAGCUGGUGGGUUUAAUACCUACCAAGGCGACGAUCCGUAACUGGACUGCGAGAAUGAUCAGACACACGGGAAAUGAGACACGGACCAGAAGCCUACGGGAGGCAGCAGUGGGGAAUAUUGGACAAUGGGCGAGAGUGUGAACCAGUCAGGCCACGUGUGUGAAGAAGGUGUUCGGAUUGUGAAGCACUAGGAGUAGGGAGAAAAGGCAGUGAGUUAAAACGAUGAGAUAGUGACGGUACUAAAAGAAGAAGCACCGGCUAACUACGUG
rnacentral:rRNA from 1 species